UACGUAGGGUCCGAGCGUUGUCCGGAAUUAUUGGGCGUAAAGGGCUCGUAGGCGGUUCGUCACGUCGGGAGUGAAAACUCGGAGCUUAACUCCGAGCCUGCUUCCGAUACGGGCAGACUAGAGGUAGGCAGGGGAGAGCGGAACUCCUGGUGUAGCGGUGAAAUGCGCAGAUAUCGGGAAGAACACCCGUGGCGAAGGCGGCUCUCUGGGACGGUACUGACGCUGAGACGCGAAAGCGUGGGGAGCGAACAGG
rnacentral:rRNA from 1 species